GAAUGCAUUUACUAAAACUGAAGCAAAACGAGAACUGCACACCAUUGCAUCGUCUCCUUCAGACAAACACGUGUUUCAAGUGAAGAACUUCAACGCACUUGGAUUAAUAAGACAGAAUCUGCAGGAGAAAAUUUUCUCCAUCGAAGGAUCUCAAAGCAGUGGAGAGUCACUGAAAAUGGAAAUGUCUCAAGAGGGAUUCAGUGCAGUUUAUGUGCCUGAGGGAAUUCAAAUGUCUAUUGUUGGUGCAAACCAAUGGAAGGGAGGCUACGUGCAAUACACAACAGAGGGCCAGAAAGU